GUAUGCAUCUGUUCACAGGUGGCGUCUAAUGUCACGUAAAUACACAGACAGCGAUAACUAAAUGUACCUGUAGAUUUCAGACAUUAUAGCAAACCAUAUAGAGGUAGACCGAGAAACCAGGUAGUACGUGUACAGCAGAUCUAUAUCGGUCAGAGGUUAUGGCUCUUCUCUGGUGUCAACGGUUCAGAAUAGUCACAGGCCAAUUCACAAUAGUUCAAAUUAGAUUACAAUAAGCAGAAAUAAUAUUUGGCAUUUGAAAAUCCAAUAAAAUAAUGGUUGUCAUAAUCUAAAUUCUUAAGAGGCACUCAAAUCCUUCAUAAUUUCUUCCACGUUCGACCCCACUCGCUGCCGUAUAUUUUCACAACCCCACCCUGACUGUUACGUAUUUGGUACCGCCUGGGUUCAAGCGGGGAGACUUUUUUACACACUAGGAAUGAAGGGCGAACAGAAGGGGAGGGAAAUAAGGGAACAGGAAGAUAUUUUUUAUGAGUGCUCAUGAGUUAGGAUACCCGCAGGCACGGAGACAGGCCAGUAGACUGUGAUGCUACGAAACCCUUGUCAUCGUGGUUGGAAAACGGUCAAAUCAACUAGAUCACACACAUGAUUUCUUGCAAAUAUUUCUUGAAAACGAAUUUAUUUUAACCUUCUGUUACUGAUGACGGGGCAAUGAGUUGUAUAACCAUUGUAAUAGUGGUAUAUUUUCACCAGCAGUUCACCGAGGUUGUCUGUCGUCCUCAGCGGAACAACGCGUGUGAUUUAGCGGGAAAGCUUCGACGGAAUACGACUCGGUGGAUCGGGGCUUAGUGAAGCCUAAUUACUUAUAUGAUGCUUCGGAUUAGAAUAGCAUACCCCAUUCAAACUUUUGCGUGGUACACAGAGGUACUAGUGGCUUCGUUGUGGGGAGGCUUAUUAUUCAGCAAUCCCAACAUGAAACAUUGUUCUUGUGUAAAGAUAAAGAAACAGUGGACCAUACAAAUCACCAGAAGAGCGAAGAAAAAAUAACAAUCGUAUGGAACUAUAAUUUGUAUGUGAAACCCACCUUCCGCGACCGGCAAUAGAUGUAGCGGAAUUCUUGAGGGAUUACUGUUGAAACAUUCCGAGGCAGAAGCUUCCAACUAUCAACCGAUAAGGAGUUCGCUGUUAGUUAUGGACGAAUGUAUAUAGGGCUCUUGGUGAGAAAUUGAAACGGCAGAGCGUUUUUGUCUCGUACGUGAGAACACGUGUUUCUACAGUCUCUUAACACUAUUAAGAAUGUUCGUUAUCAGUUAGUUCUGUACUUACAGGCGACUUAUCCCACCCAAGGGACAGACUCAAUCAGCAAUUUCUCCGCAGAUAAUAUACGUAAUGGCGUCGAGACUUUCUGAAAUUUGAUACUAUGAUAUAGUUGAAGAUAACCGGCAUGUAUAAGUUCAUAACGUAAUUUUGUGAAUUGUGACAUUCAGAAAUAAUUUUAUCACGAAUAAGUACAGUUUCGAUGUAAUUGUUAUUAAUGAUACCGAAAUUAGUAGUUUUCACCAAUUUUAAUACAAAACAUACUGAUGUUAAAAUGGCUGAAUGUUUGGAAUACUUGUCUGAUACACUGUGGAAUAUCUAUCUGAUAAAUUGUAAAAUAUCUAUCUGAUACACCGUGGAGUAUAUAUAUCUGAUACACUGGAAUAUCUAUCUGAUACACUGUGGAAUAUCUAUCUGAUAAAUUGUAAAAUAUAUAUCUGAUACACUGUGGAAUAUCUGUCUGAUAAAUUGUAAAAUAUCUAUCUUAUAUACUAUUGAAUAACUAUCUGAUACACUGGAAUAUCUAUCUUAUAUACUAUGGAAUAACUAUCUGAUAUACUGUAGAAUAUCUAUCUUAUAUACUAUGGAAUAUCUAUCUGAUACACUGGUAUAUCUAUCUUAUAUACUAUGGAAUAACUAUCCGAUACACUGGAAUAUCUAUCUUAUAUACUAUGGAAUAACUAUCUGAUAUACUGUAGAAUAUCUAUCUUAUAUACUAUGGAAUAUCUAUCUGAUACACUGGAAUAUCUAUCUUAUAUACUAUGGAAUAACUAUCUGAUAUACUAUGGAAUAUCUAUCUUAUAUACUAUGGAAUACCUAUCUUAUAUACUAUGGAAUAUUUAUCUUAUAUACUGUAGAAUAUCUGUCUGAUACACUGGAAUAUCUAUCUUGUAUACUGUGGAAUAUAUCAGGCUCAUUUCUACAAACAACUAAUCUGUAUAAAUAACUAUUGUUUAGGGUUAACAAUGUGCUAAAUGAUUAUAGUUCAGAACUAUUAGAAGAAGAAAAAAGAAGCUUGAAAUAUGAAGCAUUGUCUUUGAGUUCUACUUUGCAGUAACUAGAAAAGAAACGAGAGUGAGGUCAGUAGAUUUCGGGAUCAUAUUUUUUCUGACGGGAAUUGGGAUAGCAUACUUUUCAUGGUCUGAGAUAACACGAACAAAGACAAUAAUUUGUGACAAUUGAUCUCACGCGCUUUACGAUGAGGGUAGCCGAGUUUUUUUCACUUCAAUUACGAGUCUUGUUUUUUAAGAAGUAAGCAAAUCAUGACGAGGGUUUAAAAUUUGAUAGUAGUAUUCUAUGUUCACUAUAAAUAACCCUAAAUAUUCUACACCAAUCACAAUGCUAAAAAGUACAGGGCAUUAGUUGUUUAUACUGACUAAUCAGGGUAUUUUUUUAUACACACUAAUCACAAUAUUAUAAUGUAUAGGGUAUAUUAGGUACUUGUACGAUUACAUAAGUGUUCAAUGGAAUAACUAUAUUGCUUUGAGUAAUAAAUUCUUUGCAAUCCGCAUGUGAUUGAACAUAAUACUACUUGCAUGCUCAACUAUCCUUUCAAGCGCCAUUUUAAUUAUGUUUGGUGGUGUUGUACGAGAUCAUUUUAACGUUUAUCUCCCAGUGUAAAAAUGAAUAAAUUAUGUUUUUAUAAAUUA